CAGGUAGGACUACCCGCUAUUAAGCAU
rnacentral:rRNA from 1 species